AACGAACGCUGGCGGCAUGCCUAACACAUGCAAGUCGAACGAGACCUUCGGGUCUAGUGGCGCACGGGUGCGUAACGCGUGGGAAUCUGCCCUUGGGUUCGGAAUAACAGCGAGAAAUUGCUGCUAAUACCGGAUGAUGACGUAAGUCCAAAGAUUUAUCGCCCAAGGAUGAGCCCGCGUAGGAUUAGCUAGUUGGUGAGGUAAAGGCUCACCAAGGCGACGAUCCUUAGCUGGUCUGAGAGGAUGAUCAGCCACACUGGGACUGAGACACGGCCCAGACUCCUACGGGAGGCAGCAGUGGGGAAUAUUGGACAAUGGGCGAAAGCCUGAUCCAGCAAUGCCGCGUGAGUGAUGAAGGCCUUAGGGUUGUAAAGCUCUUUUACCCGGGAUGAUAAUGACAGUACCGGGAGAAUAAGACUCCGGCUAACUCCGUGCCAGCAGCCGCGGUAAU
rnacentral:rRNA from 1 species